UACAGAGGUCCCGAGCGUUGUUCGGAUUCACUGGGCGUAAAGGGUGCGUAGGUGGCAAGGUAAGUUUGAUGUGAAAGCUCAGGGCUUAACCCUGAAAUGGCAUUGAAUACUACUGUGCUGGAGGUUUGGAGGGGGGACUGGAAUUCUUGGUGUAGCAGUGAAAUGCGUAAAUAUCAAGAGGAACACCAGUGGCGAAGGCGAGUCCCUGGACAACACCUGACACUGAGGCACGAAGGCCAGGGGAGCAAACGGG
rnacentral:rRNA from 1 species